UGGGGAAUAUUGCACAAUGGGCGCAAGCCUGAUGCAGCCAUGCCGCGUGUGUGAAGAAGGCCUUCGGGUUGUAAAGCACUUUCAGCGGGGAGGAAGGCGUUAAGGUUAAUAACCUCAUCGAUUGACGUUACCCGCAGAAGAAGCACCGGCUAACUCCGUGCCAGCAGCCGCGGUAAUACGGAGGGUGCAAGCGUUAAUCGGAAUUACUGGGCGUAAA
rnacentral:rRNA from 1 species